rnacentral:misc_RNA from 1 species
GCAAACUUGGUCAUUUAGAGGAAGUAAAAGUCGUAACAAGGUUUCCGUAGGUGAACCUGCGGAAGGAUCAUUAAAAGAAUUAGAGAUUUAGGUCUCAAAUUCCCAAUCCUUUGUUUAAUUAUCACUUAAGUUGCUUUGGUGUAUGGCUUAACUAAUAUUAAGUGCCUGCCAAAAGCCUAAUUAAAAAUUCUUAGUCCUAAUGGUGUCAUGUCUAAAUCUUAAUUAAAAAAUUUAAAUAAAACUUUCAACAACGGAUCUCUUGGUUCUGGCAUCGAUGAAGAACGCAGC